rnacentral:misc_RNA from 1 species
CAAAGACGCCUCCUUUACUUUCGGCCGAUUUCCCAGACAAGCUAGCUACUGAUGGCGGAGGUCGAAUCGGCGGCGGCGCCCGGCGGUCCCCUGCCAGACUCGGCGGCGGAGGCGGCGACAGCGCAGCCUACGGCGGCGGCGCCGCACAUGCUGGAGCGGAAGUGGGCCUUCUGGUUCGAUAACCAGUCGAAGCCCAAGCAGGGUGCCGCCUGGGGCAGCUCCCUCCGCAAGGCCUACACCUUCGACACCGUCGAGGAGUUCUGGAGCUUGUAUGAGGUACUUCGACCUAGCAAGUUCCCGGCAAAUGCUGAUUUCCACUGUUUCAAAGCUGGG